UCUCUCUCAAUUUCGUCGCCAACAUUCUCUCUCUCUCUCAAUUUCGUCGCCAACAUCCGAUUCUCGUGGAGGAACAAAGCCCUAGACGACUCGGUUCAUUCGGAUCAAAAUUACAAAUGCUCUAAUGCUCUGAACUAAAACCAUACAAUUUCUUUGCGUUUCGCGAGGGGCUUCGUCAUCAACUAUUUGAAUUUCCUUGCAACCGUUCAUGUCAUAUCUGCCGGCUAUGGCUCUGAGCUGCGGGUUUUCUUCUUGUAUUAUACGAGGUUCUAAUACUAGAUCUUAAAGAGCUUUUUCAAGUCGGUAUCAUGACUUGAUGGAUGGUCUACUGGUAUCUCAAAGAAUGCAAUUCCAUGAUGGUGCAGGUAAAUUUAUGCAUGAAUCCUGUUGAAUAAGUACCAAUGAAACUCGUAUUGUAAGAUAGCAAAAGAAAACCGGAAAAAAAUUAGGUUCUCACUAGUUUUGUCGGUGACCUAUUUUGUGGAAAUUUGUUAUUUUUUGCCCUAAGUUUGAGUUUGGACAUUGUUAUUUAUCUGUAUGCUUAUAUAUAAAAGAUACCUAUCAAUUGGAAACUCUUUUAUGCUCAAAUUAGUUUCUUCCAUUAAAUUGUUGGCAAAUUCUGCAGUAUAAUACAUUUCACAACUAAGUUUUAAAGAUAGUUGAGCUUUAUCAUCAUAAUUACUUGUUAGUUAUUUUCUUCUUUGUAAUU